rnacentral:misc_RNA from 1 species
AACCAUAGAAACCUGCGGAGUACCUGCGGAAGGAUCAUUACCGAGUUUACAACUCCCAAACCCCUGUGAACAUACCUAUACGUUGCCUCGGCGGAUCAGCCCGCGCCCUGUAAAAAGGGACGGCCCGCCCGAGGACCCUAAACUCUGUUUUUAGUGGAACUUCUGAGUAAAACAAACAAAUAAAUCAAAACUUUUAACAAUGGAUCU